GGGCCCGUGGCGCAGAUUGGCUAGCGCGUUCGGCUGAUAGCCCAUGAAGGCAGAAACCGGAAGGUCCGGGGUUCGAAUCCCCGCGGGCCCAC
rnacentral:tRNA from 1 species